rnacentral:rRNA from 1 species
CCUACGGGUGGCUGCAGUGGGGAAUAUUGGACAAUGGGGGCAACCCUGAUCCAGCCAUGCCGCGUGUGUGAAGAAGGCCCUCGGGUUGUAAAGCACUUUCAGUGAGGAAGAACGCCUGGUGGUUAAUACCCAUCAGGAAAGACAUCACUCACAGAAGAAGCACCGGCUAACUCCGUGCCAGCAGCCGCGGUAAUACGGAGGGUGCGAGCGUUAAUCGGAAUUACUGGGCGUAAAGCCCGCGUAGGUGGCUUGAUAAGCCGGUUGUGAAAGCCCCGGGCUCAACCUGGGAACGGCAUCCGGAACUGUCAAGCUAGAGUGAAGGAGAGGAAGGUAGAAUUCCCGGUGUAGCGGUGAAAUGCGUAGAGAUCGGGAGGAAUACCAGUGGCGAAGGCGGCCUUCUGGACUGACACUGACACUGAGGUGCGAAAGCGUGGGUAGCAAACAGGAUUAGAUACCCUAGUAGUC